rnacentral:rRNA from 1 species
GACGAACGCUGGCGGCGUGCCUAAUACAUGCAAGUAGAACGCUGAAGAGAGGAGCUUGCUCUUCUUGGAAGAGUUGCGAACGGGUGAGUAACGCGUAGGUAACCUGCCUUGUAGCGGGGGAUAACUAUUGGAAACGAUAGCUAAUACCGCAUAACAAUGGAUGACCCAUGUCAUUUAUUUGAAAGGGGCAACUGCUCCACUACAAGAUGGACCUGCGUUGUAUUAGCUAGUAGGUGAGGUAACGGCUCACCUAGGCGACGAUACAUAGCCGACCUGAGAGGGUGAUCGGCCAGACUUGGACAGAGACACGGCCCAGACUCCUACGGGAGGCAGCAGUAGGGAAUCUUCGGCAAUGGGGGCAACCCUGACCGAGCAACGCCGCGUGAGUGAAGAAGGUUUUCGGAUCGUAAAGCUCUGUUGUAAGUCAAGAACGAGUGUGAGAGUGGAAAGUUCACACUGUGACGGUAGCUUACCAGAAAGGGACGGCUAACUACGUGCCAGCCGCCGCGGUAA